rnacentral:rRNA from 1 species
UAGGGAAUAUUGGGCAAUGGCGGAAACGCUGACCCAGCCAUGCCGCGUGCAGGAAGAAGGCGCUCAGCGUUGUAAACUGCUUUUAUCGACGAAGAACGGCCUUCCUGCGGGAAGGUGUGACGGUAGUCGAGGAAUAAGCACCGGCUAACUCCGUGCCAGCAGCCGCGGUAAUACGGAGGGUGCAAGCGUUGUCCGGAUUUAUUGGGUUUAAAGGGUGCGUAGGCGGGCUGGUAAGUCUGGUUUGAAAGUCAGCGGCUCAACCGUUGAGGGUGGCUGGAUACUGCCGGUCUUGAAAUUGUUGGAGGCCACCGGAACGGAUCGUGUAGCGGUGAAAUGCAUAGAUAUGAUCCAGAACACCAAUUGCGUAGGCAGGUGGCUACGACUGAUUUGACGCUGAGGCACGAGAGCAUGGGGAGCAAACAGG